GGGAGAGGUACAGAGAGGGGGAGAGGAAGGAGGAGACAGCUUGGAUAACCCCAGAAUCUAAGAAAAGGAUGGGGACGUCCCCACCCUGGGGACGGCCCCCAGGACCACAAAAUGCCCCUAAAGAUUCUGCCAAACGUCGAUGGCUGCGUAAUCGUCGGAACUAUUUCUCAUGUGACAGCGUGACAGGGAUGAAGAUCAAAUUCACCUGCCAGUAGAAUGGUCAGCCCAGCUCUCCAAACUAUUAUCUGUACUGAUUUUAUUGUUUAUCUUGAUUUAUUUAAAUAUUAACUUAUUGCUUUAGAGUGGGGGAGGGGCAGAGAGAGAGAAUCCCCAGAGAAUCCCAAUGUGGGGCUCAAACUCACACUGAGGUCACCGCCUGAGCUGAAAUCAGGAGUCGGAGGCUUAACUGACUGAGCCCCUAUCCGUAUUGGUUUUAAGUGAAGGCCUGCUAUUUAAACCCGUAGGGAAAAGAAUUUUUCACAGGGUAUCUGAGCAAUUGUCUGCCAGGUAACAUGCUGCUUUGGGGGGGACCAGGGUGGUAGGGUGCAAGCGUGAUGAGCAUGUUUCUCAAUGAUCUCCCUGUAACCUGUCCUGGUGACGUACAUCUUUUCAUUCUCCUUAUUCUCUUUCCUAUCACCCGAGCAAAGAGGCUUAUCUUGGGUGUGUGACAUCAUAGACAUCUCCUUGGUGUGUGGAGUGAGGCAAAGCUACCCUUUCCUAUCGAACGGUGCCUCUCAGCACAGCUUCCGCUGCUUGCCCUGGAAGGACACCACGGGUGGUUGGGUGGCUUGAAGUGCCAUGGCCAUGCGUUUCCGGGCGAGAUGAGCCUAUCUCACUUUUCCUGGUGUUAUCUCGCCUUUUAGCACAUUGAGCACUCAGCAGGGCCACGCUACGUAAGAGGCGGAUGCAUGGGUUUCCUUCCAUGGCCACCCCAACGCAGGGCGAUCGUUCCAUCUCAGGGCCCACGCUAGCCAGAUAAUGGGGGAAGAGAGAACAAGCUGGGAUUUGCUCCCUGAAUCAUCUGAAUCAUCUGCCAGCUGUCUGCACAACCCGAGAGGCAGACCUGACCGGCUUUCAUGGUGAACCAUGAUGUUAGGAGAAGGGAACUCCAGCCGGACGAGUCAGUCCCAGGCGAGCUCUUCAGGCAGCAGCAUCCGGAGGCUUCAUCGUCUGGACUGCACAUGGAACACACUCUGUCUGGAAGUCACUAGAAGAAUGUAAGCCCGGAUCACCCCGAUGUCAUCUUUAAAAGGUGGCCUGUGGGGUGCCUGGGUGGCUCAGUUGGCGCUGUCCAAAGCUCUGGAGUUGCAGUGAUGAGUAAGAGGGAUUUUCCCUCAAAGGACUUUUGGAGGAGCAGGUGGCAGACAGUGAUACAAGCUGAUGCAGAGAAACCGGCGAAGUGAAAGAGAAGCCGUCCCAGACAGCUGGGUCUCCUGGAAGGCUUCCCAAAGGAGACAGCGUGUGAUCUGGCCUUAAAGGACGAGUGGAAUUUUCACAGGGAAGCCUGAACUUCAGGAUCUGACGGACUGGACAGGAAAGAGACACUCCUCUGUGCUGCUAACGUGUUCUUAAGGACAGCUAAUAACUGAGCAAAGUCGGAGGUGGCCACAAGAAGGACAGCGAGUCCAGACUAGAAGAGAGAGAGUUAACCGUCCUCACACGGAGCAGCCUCUCCUUGUCACUUGGCAUCAUCAUGGCUGUCCUGCUAAAGACAAAACACAUUUUCCAAAAGAAGGCUCUUUUGACCCCUUGGCUGCUGUUCCAAAAUGGGGAAAUAUUACCAGGAUGAGAAUUACGCAGGGCAAAUAUUCAUGAAGAAAUGUGGUCUAAUGGAAGUCGCGUCUAUAAAAUAUCCAAUGCUUAGAAAUAAAUGAGAAUUCUGUCAAUCA